GGAUGUGAGGGCAAUCUGGCUGCGACAUCUGUCACCCCAUUGAUGGACAGGGUUGGUUCGGCUUAUCUGGCUGGCUAGGUGAGUGUCCCCUUCCUCCCUCACCCCUCCAUGUUGAAUCCCUCUCGAUGCUGAAUGCAAGACUCUGUGCAAAGAAUGUUUCCUCCCAUAGGUAGUGUUUUUGCUAUAUUCUUGAAUAUUGUAAUCCAGUGCCAACCAACAGUGCCCAGAAUAGUGCCAUCUCAACCUCCUUUCAUAGAACGUAUUCUUCGUU
rnacentral:snRNA from 11 species